GAUGAACGCUGGCGGCGUGCCUAAUACAUGCAAGUCGAGCGAACGGACGAGAAGCUUGCUUCUCUGAUGUUAGCGGCGGACGGGUGAGUAACACGUGGAUAACCUACCUAUAAGACUGGGAUAACUUCGGGAAACCGGAGCUAAUACCGGAUGAUAUUUUGAACCGCAUGGUUCAAAAGUGAAAGACGGUCUUGCUGUCACUUAUAGAUGGAUCCGCGCUGCAUUAGCUAGUUGGUAAGGUAACGGCUUACCAAGGCAACGAUGCAUAGCCGACCUGAGAGGGUGAUCGGCCACAAUGGAACUGAGACGCGGUCCCGACGCCUACGGGAGGCAGCAGUAGGGAAUAUUCCGCAAUGGGCGAAAGCCUGACGGAGCAACGCCGCGUGAGUGAUGAAGGUCUUCGGCUCGUAAAACUCUGUUAUUAGGGAAGAACAUAUGUGUAAGUAACUGUGCACAUCUUGACGGUACCUAAUCAGAAAGCCACGGCUAACUACGUG
rnacentral:rRNA from 1 species